rnacentral:lncRNA from 1 species
UUUUGUAUUUUUGAUGCAUUAAUAAAAUUAAACAUGCACAUAAAUAUAUGCAAACAAUCAGGAAAAUCACACAAUAAUUCCUAAAAUAACACAUAAUUAAAGACAAUACCUAAUUUUGGGAAUUAUUUUGGAGUAAUUCUUAUGAAGCAAAAAUUACAUGCUCACAGUUGCCCCUCUUUGUCCGAAAACAUGAAGAGUUUUCGUGCAAAAAUAAAGUGAGCGGAUACGAGAGAUUUUUGCCUGUUCGAACACUCCGUGGGAAGCAUUUUUUGAAAUUUUUGACCGAACCUCUGCUUCAAAGGUUUCCUACAUAUCCUUAGCUAUAAAGGAAUCAGGUCAAUGUAGUUCGGGAAGUUUUGGUAGCUGAGACUACCAUGAAGCUGCGGUUUUGCUGUUACUGCUGUUGCUGCUGCUGAUACUGCCUACUGACCUCCUUAUUACCCCAUGACAAAAAUGAAGAAGCUAGACUAAGCUAUGAUCUAUGCUUUACAAAGAUUUAUUUUCAAACUUGAUCUUGUGACUGAUGUUGCCUCGUUGACUUGUAUUUUCCUCAGAAGUUCCUUUGUGGCUGACUUGAAUGGUAUUCUUUGAAAUGCUUUCCUUUCUUCUCCAGGCGGGCACCUGAUUGCUGAACCCUUUAAAUGUCUUCCUUUGACUAUUGUUUCCUUUCCUCUGUUCCCCAGGCGGGCUCUUGAUUAUUUGAAAUUUGAAUUGCUUCUUCCCUUCGUUCUCCAGGUGGGCUCCUGAUUGCUGAGACUCGAAAUGUAUUCCCUUGUUCUCUAGAUGGGCUCCUGAUUGCUGAAACUUGAAUUGUAUUCCCUUAUUCUCCAGGUGGGCUCCUGAUUGCUGAAACUUGAACUGCAUUCUCUUGCUCUCCAGGUGGGCUCCUGAUUGCUGAGACUCGAAUUGUAUUCCCUUGUUCUCCAGGUGGGCUCCUGAUUGCUGAAACUUGAAUUGUAUUCCCUUGUUCUCUAGGUGCGCUCCUAAUUUCAACAAAAUAGACAAAAGCAAAGAAAAUUUUAUGCCAAGUCUGAUAAACCAUUAUGCCAACCCCCAAGAUCCCCACCAACGAAGUAUAAUUAGACCAACUAGAAAGCAUACCGUCAACAAGUUCUGAAACACUCAAUAAGAAAUCUGCUGAAAAGAAAAAAGAAAAAAACAACUGAAAAGAAAAAGGAGAGAAAAAAAAAAAAGGAACAAAGUCUUGCUUAGCCAGCCAAAUAAAAGGCUCUAAUCCAGCUAAAUUUAUAAACUUGAGCUAAUCCCAUUACUUAAACACGUAAGCA